AGUGAACGCUGGCGGGAGGCCUAACACAUGCAAGUCGAACGGCAGCACAGAGGAGCUUGCUCCUUGGGUGGCGAGUGGCGGACGGGUGAGGAAUACAUCGGAAUCUACUCUGUCGUGGGGGAUAACGUAGGGAAACUUACGCUAAUACCGCAUACGACCUACGGGUGAAAGCAGGGGGUCUUCGGACCUUGCGCGAUUGAAUGAGCCGAUGUCGGAUUAGCUAGUUGGCGGGGUAAAGGCCCACCAAGGCGACGAUCCGUAGCUGGUCUGAGAGGAUGAUCAGCCACACUGGAACUGAGACACGGUCCAGACUCCUACGGGAGGCAGCAGUGGGGAAUAUUGGACAAUGGGCGCAAGCCUGAUCCAGCCAUACCGCGUGGGUGAAGAAGGCCUUCGGGUUGUAAAGCCCUUUUGUUGGGAAAGAAAUCCAGCCGGCUAAUACCUGGUUGGGAUGACGGUACCCAAAGAAUAAGCACCGGCUAACUUCGUGCCAGCAGCCGCGGUAAUACGAAGGGUGCAAGCGUUACUCGGAAUUACUGGGCGUAAAGCGUGCGUAGGUGGUUAUUUAAGUCCGUUGUGAAAGCCCUGGGCUCAACCUGGGAACUGCAGUGGAUACUGGAUGACUAGAAUGUGGUAGAGGGUAGCGGGAAUUCCUGGUGUAGCAGUGAAAAUGCGUAGAGAUCAGGAGGAACAUCCAUGGCGAAGGCAGCUUACCUGGGACCAACAUUGACACUGGGGAGAAAGCGUGGGGAGCAAACAAAG
rnacentral:rRNA from 1 species